UCGUCAGGUGGGAUAAUCCUUACCUGUUCCUCCUUCGGGAGGGCGGAUUGGAACAUGAUGAUUGGAGUUCGGAUGAUGCGUGAUUAGCGUCUCUGCGUAAUCAGGAUUUGCAACACCCAGAUUACUCCUAUCUGAU